AUUGAACGCUGGCGGCAGGCCUAACACAUGCAAGUCGAGCGGAGCGGCGGACGGGUGAGUAAUGCCUAGGAAUCUGCCUGGUAGUGGGGGAUAACGUCCGGAAACGGGCGCUAAUACCGCAUACUAUCAGAUGAGCCUAGGUCGGAUUAGCUAGUUGGUGGGGUAAAGGCCUACCAAGGGGACCAUCCGUAACCGGUCUGAGAGGGUGAUCAGUCACACUGGAACUGAGACACGGUCCAGACCCCCACGUGAUGCAGCAGGGGGGAAUAUGGGAAAAUGGGCGAAAGCCUGAUCCAGACAUGCCGCGUGUGUGAAGAAGGUCGUCGGAUUGUAAAGCACUUUAAGUUGGGAGGCGUUACCAACAGAAUAAGCACCGGCUAACUUCGUGCCAGCAGCCGCGGUAAUAC
rnacentral:rRNA from 1 species